rnacentral:rRNA from 1 species
GCGGAGGAAAAGAAACCAACAGGGAUUCCCCUAGUAACGGCGAGUGAAGCGGGAACAGCUCAAAUUUGAAAUCUGGCCCUCGGGUCCGAGUUGUAAUUUGUAGAGGAUGCUUUUGGUGCGGUGCCUUCCGAGUUCCCUGGAACGGGACGCCUUAGAGGGUGAGAGCCCCGUACGGUUGGACGCCUAGCCUCUGUAAAGCUCCUUCGACGAGUCGAGUAGUUUGGGAAUGCUGCUCUAAAUGGGAGGUAUAUUUCUUCUAAAGCUAAAUACUGGCCAGAGACCGAUAGCGCACAAGUAGAGUGAUCGAAAGAUGAAAAGCACUUUGAAAAGAGGGUUAAAUAGCACGUGAAAUUGUUGAAAGGGAAGCGUUUAUCACCAGACUUUUUCUAGGGGGAUCAUCCGGUGUUCUCACCGGUGCACUUCCCCUAGUUGAGGCCAGCAUCGGUUUUCGGAGGGGGAUAAAAGCUUCGGGAAUGUGACUCCCUCGGGAGUGUUAUAGCCCGUUGCAUAAUACCCUUCUGGGGACCGAGGUUCGCGCAUCUGCAAGGAUGCUGGCAUAAUGGUGAUCAACGACCCGUCUUG